rnacentral:lncRNA from 1 species
UUGAAAAAGAAUAUCUUGUCCUAACACAUUGGUUUCUAAUCCUAAUUGUGUUACCUUAAAGGGAUAUAGCAUUUGUAAGAAUGGAUUUCCUAAUAUGAUUUGUGUAUUAAGGUUUUUUAUUAACAUGAAACUGGUUUUAAAACAAAUUCCAUUAUUACAAAUAUGUGCACUAGGUAUUUUAUAAUCUAUUUUGACUUUAGUGGAAU